GCUCAGAUUGAACGCUGGCGGCAGGCCUAACACAUGCAAGUCGAGCGGUAACAGAUUGAUAGCUUGCUAUCAAUGCUGACGAGCGGCGGACGGGUGAGUAAUGCCUGGGAAUAUACCUCAGUGUGGGGGAUAACUAUUGGAAACGAUAGCUAAUACCGCAUAAUCUCUUGUCUUUUACGAGAUGGGAGCAAAGCGGGGGACCUUCGGGCCUCGCGCGCUGAGAUUAGCCCAGGUGGGAUUAGCUAGUUGGUGGGGUAAUGGCUCACCAAGGCGACGAUCCCUAGCUGGUCUGAGAGGAUGAUCAGCCACACUGGAACUGAGACACGGUCCAGACUCCUACGGGAGGCAGCAGUGGGGAAUAUUGCACAAUGGGGGAAACCCUGAUGCAGCCAUGCCGCGUGUAUGAAGAAGGCCUUCGGGUUGUAAAGUACUUUCAGUUGUGAGGAAGGCGUUG
rnacentral:ncRNA from 1 species